GAACGCACAUUGCGCCCGCCGGCAUUCCGGCGGGCAUGCCUGUUCGAGCGUCAUUUCAACCCUCAAGCUCUCUUUAAUGUAGGCUUGGUGUUGGGGGAUCGCAUUUAGUGCCUAGUGCGCUAGAGCGACCCCUGAAAACUAGUGGCGGUUCCGCCCGUGGCAGCCUUUGCGUAGUAGCACAAACCUCGCAUAUGGAGCCCGGCGGUAGCCUUGCCGUUAAACACCCAAACUUUUUUUCAUGAGUUGACCUCGGAUCAGGUAGGAAUACCCGCUGAACUUAAGC
rnacentral:misc_RNA from 1 species